GUGUAAUAUCUAUGGUUACUUGACCCCAACUCUGUAUAAAACCGUCCGCCACUAAGCGUGAGGCCUCUUUCUCCUCACAGCUCCAUUACCUGCUUAGUCGAAAGGAAGCCUUAAUUUAGGGUCACUGACGCAAUAAAACGUCGAUGUUACACCAGCGGCCGGACUAUUGGAGGUACGUCUCGUGCGGCUGCCCCUCUCUGCGUGCACGUGGCCGCGGCCCUCCUCAUAUUGGCACAUGCGGCAAUACCUGCCUACGUGUGUAAUCUAAGGAGGGACAUUACGCUGUCGGUGGUGGGCAGGCAUUGGCAAGAUUAGUAGUCUUGCCCAGCGCUCACCCUGACACAGACUGGAAAUGUUUGCUUUAUAUUCAUGAUGUAAAACCUAAACUUGUGGCAUGAAACUGUACAAUUGUAUGAUGUGUACCAUAUAUUAGUCAAUUGUUCUUAUCCAUUGUGUGGGUUAACCCAGUGAUUAAGGGCUUUAAUACUUGCUGCCUGAAAAUAAAGGCUUUUUAAAUGGGACCUGACCUUUUAUGUUGCUCCGAAGUGGGAUUCCCAGUCUGACUGGAGAUCUUAUGUUUGCAGCAGAACCUGUUUAGUGUGAGAUCAACAAACCAAAUGACCGGCUUUUUAAGGUGAAAGGUAAGUUUACAGAACGACAUCUAGUUAAAAUUGUGCUUGACAGUAGUCGUAUGGUUUUCUUUUAAUAACCAAAGUUAAAAUACAAAAUGUCAGCAUAGCCAUGCAGUUCUGCUGAAUAUUUUGUGCAGUCUACACGUUUUACUCGAGUGAUGUGUGGAAUAUUACACUGUUAGCAAUGAUGGAGUUAAACUGAAAUUGUCACGUCUGUACUAUGCAAUUUGAUUUUUUUAAAUCCUAUAAUAAAGAGUUUAAAAGAU